ACCAAUGUCGGGUGCGAUCGUGUCAAACGCUCGACGGAGACGUUUUGUGCGGUCGUCGAGACUGACCCGAGAAGUUUUUCGCAAUAAUAUAAUAUAGAAACGAGAAACGACAACGAUCUCUUAUUACAAUAUAAAAAUAUCGAGUCCGAGUUAAGAGCUGCACUAAGUGCACUCCGUCGAAGUUUGUUUAUUUACUUUAUAUAUAUUAUAGUAUACCCGAGAAUAUUAAUGAAACACUUUGCCAAACGUGCAGCAGUUCAACUGUAGAAAUGAUGACGAAUAGGCGGGUUUUUAUUAUUUUAGAUUCUGAUCGAAGCGAGGAAUGUAUUGGUUUUACAAUGUUUAUUUUUUGUAUUAUUAUUUUUUUUAUAAAGAUAUUUUCAACCAGAAAUCUCGCUUCGAAGGAAAUUUUAACUGAAUGGUACUUAAAGGAGGUAAUUUUUUGAUUUUCCAAAA